rnacentral:rRNA from 5 species
UCACUGGUGUUCGGGUUGUCAUGCCAAUGGCACUGCCCGGUAGCUAAAUGCGGAAGAGAUAAGUGCUGAAAGCAUCUAAGCACGAAACUUGCCCCGAGAUGAGUUCUCCCUGAGACUUAGAGUCUCCUGAAGGAACGUUGAAGACGACGACGUUGAUAGGCCGGGUGUGUAAGCGCAGCGAUGCGUUGAGCUAACCGGUACUAAUGAACCGUGAGGCUUAACCUUACAACGCCGAAG